CACGUAGGAGGCGAGCGUUGUCCGGAAUCAUUGGGCGUAAAGAGCGCGCAGGCGGCUUGGCAAGUCGGGUGUGAAAUCCCGGGGCUCAACCCCGUGACUGCAUCCGAUACUGUCAGGCUAGAGGUAGGUAGGGGAGAUCGGAAUUCCUGGUGUAGCGGUGAAAUGCGCAGAUAUCUGGAGGAACACCGGUGGCGAAGGCGGCGUUCUGGACUGCUACUGACACUGAGGAACGAAAGCCAGGGGAGCAAACGGG
rnacentral:rRNA from 1 species